CACGUAACCCAAUACUGCUUGCGUUUGCGUAUCGUUACUCUCCGUAUCUUUGAUCCUUUUUUUUUGGUAAUCCCCGCCGUCGUUCUUAAAUCGGAACGUUUCCGAGUCGGGUGUCAAAAAUGGGAGUUACAAGUUACGAAAGGAGAGAAGAAUGCGCGACGUACGAGCGAUUGUUGGACGUUCGUUGGCGUUCGUCGCGGUCGUGACCGAGUCUACAGAAUCGCAAUGCACGUGCUCGCGUGUGGUACGAGGAUCGUGUUGACGAAUAACGACGAAACAUGUCACGGACUUGCGUGAGUGUUCUCGGUGUCGUGAGUCGUCCGUUUCAUAUGACGGAUGACCGCCCGUGUUCACCGCUUCGUGCUUGUUUUCAAUUGUUAUUUCGUACCGAUUCGCACGUAUCCGCCACUGCUUCGAUUCGUCAGUCUUUGGAUCACGAAUCAUAUGCCGCGCCCCUAACGUCGUCUGAAAUUAAUAUUUCUGCGAUACUAUGAGAAAAGGAUAUAAAAUAUUUGGGAGCUUAAUCGAGAGAGGAGGGAAGAUAGAGAGAUCCCCACCAUACCUUGAUGGCGUAUGAUGUUUGCCGAUCGUCGAGAUUGUUAAAAAGAAAGAGAGGAAGAGCCCCAGGAAUCGGAAUACCCACUCCGUUCCCUUCGUGUGUGUUUUAUAUAUACUCUUUCGAAACUGUCGUCGCUGGACCGUCACAUCAAUGUGUGCAACGCGAGUCCUUGAGCGAUACGUUUUCGUAUAAAAGAGAUCGAAGACUCCACGGAGAGAGGAUACGUAAGAUGAGGACGACGAGUACGAUUCUCUUUGGCGAGGCUUUUUCUUUUUCUUUCUUUUUCGAGACGACAAAUUAUGGCACCUCCGCGCCGAGGAGAAAUUCCUGAAUCUAGUGUUGGUCAUCCCAUGCCUUUUUUUCGUUGUCUAUCGCCGGACCGCAUGUCCAAAUCGGUCGUCCAGUCCCCGGAAACGGCUCGUGAUCUUUUUCCUUGCGUGAGUUUCACUUUACACCUUACUUUUGUUUUAAAAGUAGAAACCGCUGGAAUUGUCAAUGGAAGCUAAAAUUUUAGAGGACGGGCGUUAAAGAAACCGAUAUUCGGAUAUCUUGCGUGUGUCUUGGCUCUCGAACAUGACAUUACGAUAAUUUGGCACUAUGGUGCGAUGCAUAUUUAAAACACUACGAUUGUAGAAGAGGAAA